CUUUCCACCUCCCUUCUCUUCUUCCCCGGAGCAUCCGUCCGGCGAGAGCGGCGGCCUCUGUAUCCGCCCCCAAGAGCUGUUGCGAUCGUGCCCCGUUGCUCUCCGAAUUCGAAAUCCUUGGAUCGAUGGUAUUAAAGUUGGUAGGUAGAAGGCUAAACUUGGUCUUGGCUGACUUUUCUUCGAUGUCGUUAGGGUUUUGAAACAAGAUUUGUCGGCCUCGGCGUUGCACCCGCCGGCAGGAUUUCGAGAAGGUUUUCAAUUUCUGGAUCAAUGUGGUUUUUGGUUCGUCGUUGUCGAUCCGUAGAGCUUAUUCGUCGAGAAGACGACGCAUAUAACUUUUCUUGAUGUUAGAAUUAGGUCUAUAUUGUUAUGUGUGCCUAUGAACUUUUUUGUUUAUGGAUAUUUGCACUGAUAGCAAGUCCUUUGCAUGCUGGUUUUAUCGUCACGCUUUCGUCAGACCUUCUGAAAGUGGCUUGGAGAAUGGUGUUCUAAUGUAGCUGGUAUCUAUAAUCAAUCUCCUUAUAGAACUCAUUAUCGUAGCUUUUUCUUGUCUUGGAUUUGACAGCAUUUUCUAUCUCUUUUGUCUUGUCAUGCAGUUUCUACUAAGCCUGCUUCCUUCUAGGAAGCAGGCAUAGAAAAAUCCUUCUGGUGACGAUGCCGACCUUUGCUAAUCCAGAGAACGCAUUAAAGCGUGCCGAGGUUAAGAGAUUUUUGUUAAGCUUUCACUUUUGUGCAGAAUUUAGUAUGUCACAAAGCUCAUGGAAUAUGUUAGUAGAAUUGCUUCUAGAUCUCUAUCCGUUCAAAAAACCAAUAUGCUGCAGUAUCAUGAUUUUAAGUUUUUUCCCUGGUAGAACUCAUGAAAAAUGUUUUGUUUCACUAACAUGAAGGGACUAGUAAAGUUAUGAUUUUUUCAGAACUAUACUUUCUCUGCUUUAACGAUGAUUGAUUACUUCCAUUGUAAUAUGUCUGACAGUCUAUCUUUUUUCUUUUUUUUUGCACAAGUUACUUUGCCCAGUCUAUUUAUGAUGCCUUGUAAAGUUGAUGACUGCCUUGUGACACAAAAACUCUCCAUCAUGCUGCUGUUUUGCUAACAACAUUUUUUUUAUAUCCCCUGUACUUCAGAAUUGAUUAAUGUUGAACAGAAGCAAGCUGCCUUGCAAGCACUACAUGAUCUCAUUACUUCAAAAAGGCAUAAGGCAUGGCAGAAGGCCCUUGAAAGCAUCAUGUUUAAGUAUGUAGAACUCUGUGUGGACAUGAAGAGUGGCAGAUUUGCAAAGGAUGGACUUAUUCAGUACCGUAUUAUAUGCCAGCAAGUCAAUGUUAGCUCGUUGGAAGAGGUUAUAAAGCAUUUCAUGCAUCUUUCCACGGAGAGGGCUGAGCAAGCUAGGAUUCAAGCACAAGCCUUGGAAGAAGCACCGGAUGUGGAGGGUCUAGAGGUUGAUAAGAGACUUGAGGACUUAAUGCUUAGCUAUGUUAGUGCGGAGAAAGGAAAAAACAGGUCAGAUCGGGAGAUUGUGACUCCAUGGUUCAAAUUCUUGUGGGAAACAUACAGGACAGUGCUUGAGUUUCUGCGAAACAAUUCCAAAUUGGAAUCACUAUAUGCGGUCAUAUUCCAACAAAGAAUAGUGAACUGCCGUGAAGCCGAGUAUAACCGACUGAAGAAAGAGAGAGAGGAUAAAAUCAAUCAGCUUGUAGCAAUGAGGUAAUGUGAAAGGGAGUUCAAGAGGAAGCUACUCUUUUACCUGAAGUCUGAGGAAGUGCAGCUGACCAGGCUUCGAGAAGAGGAGGAAGCGAGAAAACAUGAAGAGGAGGAAAGACAAAAGAAAGAAGAGAGAGAGAAAAGAGAGUUAAGAGGAGAAGGAAAGGCUGCAAAGAGAAGGUCUUCUCAGAAGGCCUGUCGGACCACUGUCUCGGUCAACUGACCCUGCUUCAGGUACUCACCCUUUUGAACCGCCUAUGCCUGCUGCACCUGCUGCUGCCAAGGCUGCACCGAGCUUGGGGAAGUAUGUGCCAAGGUUUCUCUGAGAAAGAAAUGAGGGACAACGGGCAAUGCACCCCGAGUCUGAUAGAUGGGGGAAGCAGGAUGACUGCCCUCCUCAAUCCAGUGAUAGAUGGCAAAACGUUGAAUGUCGAUCAUCGUAUCAUGGUUCGAGAGCGUCCUCAUCGUUUUCCUGCUCCUUGUCGAGGCUAUGCAGUGCAACCUAAUGCAAGAAUACUGUAGUGUUUUGGUCACCAGAGGAAUUUCCAGCCAGAUUAAUUAUUACAUAUGUCAAGUCUUAUUGUCUUUGAGGGCAUUUACUAGAUCUAGGUACCAUGUCGGCAGUUUCAGGCCUACCUAA